rnacentral:rRNA from 1 species
GAACGAGAAAGUGGAGCAAUCCAUGAGUAAAGUGGCGCACGGGUGAGUAACACGUGACUAACCUACCCUGGAGUGGGGGAUAACUGAGGGAAACCUUAGCUAAUACCGCAUAAUACCCACGGGUCAAAGGAGCAAUUCGCUCUGGGAGGGGGUCGCGGCCGAUUAGUUAGUUGGCGGGGUAACGGCCCACCAAGACGAUGAUCGGUAUCCGGCCUGAGAGGGCGCACGGACACACUGGAACUGAAACACGGUCCAGACUCCUACGGGAGGCAGCAGUGGGGAAUUUUGCGCAAUGGGGGAAACCCUGACGCAGCAACGCCGCGUGGAGGAUGAAGUCCCUCGGGACGUAAACUCCUUUCGAUCGGGACGAUAAUGACGGUACCGGAAGAAGAAGCCCCGGCUAACUUCGUGCCAGCAGCCGCGGUAAUACGAGGGGGGCGAGCGUUGUUCGGAAUUAUUGGGCGUAAAGGGUGCGUAGGCGGUUUUGUAAGUCUUAUGUGAAAUCUAUGGGCUCAACUCAUAGACUGCAUGAGAAACUGCAGGGCUCGAGUGUGGGAGAGGUGAGUGGAAUUUCCGGUGUAGCGGUGAAAUGCGUAGAUAUCGGAAGGAACACCUGUGGCGAAAGCGGCUCACUGGACCACACCUGACGCUGAUGCACGAAAGCUAGGGGA